rnacentral:rRNA from 1 species
CGGGUGAGUAAUGCGUGACCAACCUGCCCCAUGCUCCAGAAUAGCUCUUGGAAACGGGUGGUAAUGCUGGAUGCUCCAACUUGACGCAUGUCUUGUUGGGAAAGUGUUUAGUGGCAUGGGAUGGGGUCGCGUCCUAUCAGCUUGUAGGCGGGGUAAUGGCCCACCUAGGCUUCGACGGGUAGCCGGCCUGAGAGGGCGGACGGCCACAUUGGGACUGAGAUACGGCCCAGACUCCUACGGGAGCAGCAGAU